rnacentral:lncRNA from 10 species
UAUGACAAUCUUAACUUCCCAGAUGGAGCAACUCAGGCAGAGAGAGCAAGUCAUUGGCCACGGUCGCCCAGCUGAGGAGGGAUGGAGCCAGCUGAGAUCCUCUUCUAGGGAGCUAACACUGCAGCCUGCAUUCUGGGCUGUUGUAUUCUCCCAUGUUGCUAUCUGACGAGCACAGCAUGGGCUCAGAGUACAGAGAGGAGGAACCAG